ensembl:lncRNA
UACUAAUUCUUUUGUCUACCCGUCGAGCGCGCGCCACAACUCAAGGAACCAGUGACGCGCGACGCUCUCUAUGCGCUCAAAGCUGCGGCAAUUCCGUUUUCACUUUUAAAAACAAAAAAAUAGACUUGAAGGAGAAGAAAGAAGUUGUAGAGGAGGUGGAUGAAGCCGAGAAGGAGAACGGCAGCGACGACGCACCUGCCAAUGGAACAAAGACAAAUGGUGCUGAAAAUGGUGAUGAGACCCCUGAAGAUGAGGAGGAAGAAGAGGAAGGAGAUGGAGAUGAGGGUGAGGAUGGAGAGGAUGGUGCAGAGGAAGAGGCUGAUGGACAUGCUGUGAAGCGCCAAGCGGAAGAGGAAGAAAAUGUUGAAACAAAAAAGCAGAAGACAGAAAAUGGCAGCUCUACAGAAGAUGAAGUGAAAGCCUAAAGCCUCAGUCUACUUUCAGUAGCUCUGUCCACAUGGUCAAUAUGACCUAGUAGAGGUUGUGCUUUCAUAUACAUCACAGAAACAUUUCCCCCAUAUUCUAUUUGCACUGGAGUUCUAUAACGUCACAGCCCUUUUUUUGUAAAAUGUUAUUUAUUGGUCCCUUCAUGGCCAGUUUUAAUUACUGCUGAAAAUGGGGCCUGUUCAUGAGAACAGUCCCUUUUUUUCCUUCUUCAAAACAGUUGUGAAGCACAUUUUCUACUUUGUUACCUGACCAGCUGGUGAUAGUCUUAAGCAGCUGUGCCCUUUCUUAUAAGGUUCAGACAUUUAUAUGGUGACCUCUUAAACAUUCAAUGAAGACCAAAGAUAAGUUUUAAGCAGGGGGUAAUGGACAGUUAGGGUUAGAAUGGUUCUAUUUUAGCUUGUGCUGCUAGUAGUUAUAAAACCUUGCCUUGCUGGUCUGUAAUGUAACGGCAGAUGGCACACACAAAUUUGAGGGCCUCUUUACUGAACAUGAUAAUUUGGCCCACUGAGCAAAUAAGCUUAUGCAAUGUUUAUUAACCCCUCUUAAAUCUUAAGGUUUUGGUCCCUGUUCUGUAUCCAUUUGUUUUCUUCAAGGUCUGUACAGUUUGGUUUAAUAUUUGCUGGGAUAACAGAUUUAGGUCUUUAAAAGCUUCGGAAAACCUAUACUGGUGGUCCUUACUUUGUCCUCUCUAAGCAAUCUUUUUUUAAAAAAAAAAAAAAAAAACAACAAAUGGUUUGUUUGCGCUGACCACUGCUUUGUAUAUUCUGGUUCUGGAUUAUAAAUAAAUCAGUCUUGUCUUUUUAUUUUUGUGUGUGU